rnacentral:rRNA from 1 species
UACGUAGGGGGCAAGCGUUGUCCGGAUUUAUUGGGCGUAAAGAGCGUGUAGGCGGCCAGACAAGUCUGCUGUGAAAACUCGAGGCUCAACCUCGAGCUGUCGGUGGAAACUGUCUGGCUAGAGUCCGGAAGAGGAGAGUGGAAUUCCUGGUGUAGCGGUGAAAUGCGCAGAUAUCAGGAAGAACACCUAUGGCGAAGGCAGCUCUCUGGGACGGUACUGACACUGAGGCACGAAAGCGUGGGGAGCAAACAGG